UACGUAGGGUGCAAGCGUUGUCCGGAUUUACUGGGCGUAAAGAGCUCGUAGGUGGUGUGCCGCGUCGUCUGUGAAGUUCCGGGGCUUAACUCCGGGCGUGCAGGCGAUACGGGCACGACUAGAGUGCUGUAGGGGUAACUGGAAUUCCUGGUGUAGCGGUGAAAUGCGCAGAUAUCAGGAGGAACACCGAUGGCGAAGGCAGGUUACUGGGCAGUUACUGACGCUGAGGAGCGAAAGCAUGGGGAGCGAACAGGAUUAGAUACCCUGGUAGUCCAUGCUGUAAACGGUGGGCGCUAGGUGUGGGCUGUGUGUUUGCAGUCUGUGCCGUAGCUAACGCAUUAAGCGCCCCGCCUGGGGAGUACGGCCGCAAGGCUAAA
rnacentral:rRNA from 1 species